rnacentral:rRNA from 1 species
UACGGAGGGUGCAAGCGUUAUCCGGAUUCACUGGGUUUAAAGGGUGCGUAGGCGGGCAUGUAAGUCAGUGGUGAAAUCUCAGAGCUUAACUCUGAAACUGCCAUUGAUACUAUGUGUCUUGAAUUUCCUGGAGGUUAGCGGAAUAUGUCAUGUAGCGGUGAAAUGCUUAGAUAUGACAUAGAACACCGAUUGCGAAGGCAGCUGACUACGGGUAGAUUGACGCUGAGGCACGAAAGCGUGGGGAUCAAACAGGG